GUUUGGAGGCUUCAACAAACAACCGAGCAUCAACAGCAUUUGCAGCUUUCAAAAAAGCAACCGAGUUACACGGAAUACCCUCAAGAGUGAGGGGUGAUCAGGGUGUGGAGAAUGUUGAAAUUGCCCGAUACAUGUUCAUGGUUCGUGGACCUGAUCGUGGAAGUUUCAUGUCAGGAAAAAGCGUCCAUAAUCAGAGAAUUGAACGCUUGUGGCGGGAUGUUAGGACAUGCGUGACAUCAAAAUAUUACAAUGAACUCCGGGUCCUAGAGAUGGAUCAUCUCCUUGACGUGUCCUCCAGAGAGGAUCUUUUCACAGUCCACCUGGCAGUCCUUCCCAAACUGAAGGUUGACCUAGUGGCUUUUGUGGAAGCUUGGAA